GAAGGAGAGAGACAGAAUGGACACAGCAUGAGUCUUCCAAAAUAAGGAUUCACCCUAAGGAGGAAAACCAAUGACCUGUUGUUUGGAAUGGCAAUAAGAAGUUAUUUGCCAGGGGAGUCGUAAAUUUCAUUUAGCAUCCUGAUAUACUAUUUUUACCGAUCGAUUAAGACACCUCCAUUAUACCCACUCGAGAUACGUGAUUAUGAACAAGAAAAAGAAGGAAAAAAAGAUGGGAUGAGGAGAAGGAGGUGAAAAAGAAGAAAAAAGGCCAGCAGCAUCAUGUCUGCAAAUAUACUGAUGAAUAAGAAGAAAGAAAUAUUGCAAACUUAAGAAUACUCAUCAGAAGCAGAAUUAUCAGUGGAUUUCAUGGAACCUCCAGAACAUUACACGGCAAAGAAAAAUCAUUUCACAACAACAAAAUCACAGCAGCAAUGAACACCAGUGUGCCCCGACUGACCCCAGUGCUUUAAGGGUAUCACACAUGAUCUCACCCUCUGAGAAAGAUUAUCUGAGAGCCUCUAGGAAAAUCUUCUCAAAAAACCUAA